AGUGAACGCUGGCGGUAGGCCUAACACAUGCAAGUCGAACGGCAGCACAGUAAGAGCUUGCUCUUACGGAUGGCGAGUGGCGGACGGGUGAGGAAUACAUCCGACUCUACUUUUUCGUGGGGGAUAACGUAGGGAAACUUACGCUAAUACCGCAUACGACCUACGGGUGAAAGCAGGGGAUCUUCGGACCUUGCGGGUGUGAAUGGGCCGGUGGCGGAUUAUCUAGUUGGCGGGGUAGAGGCCCACCAAGGCUACGAUGGGUAGCUGGUCUGAGAGGAUGACCGGCCACAUGGGGACUGAGAUACGGACCAGACUCCUACGGGAGGCAGCGGUGGGGAAUAUGGCACAAUGGGCGGAAGCCUGAUGCAGCAACGCCGCGUGCGGGAUGACGGCCUUCGGGUUGUAAACCGCUUUCGCCUGUGACGAAGCGUGAGUGACGGUAAUGGGUAAAGAAGCACCGGCUAACUACGUG
rnacentral:rRNA from 1 species